AGACUGCAUUUUGCCUUGCUUUUCCUUCUCCCUUUCUCUCUCUUUCUUUCUUUCUUUCUUUCUUUCUUUCUUUCUUUCUUUCUUUCUUUCUUUCUUUCUUUCUUUCUUUCUUUUUCUUUCUCUCUCUCUCUCUCUUUCUUUCUUUCCUUUCUUUUCUUUCUUUCCUCUUUCUCUUUCCUUCUUUCUUUUUUUCUUCUUUCUUUCCUUCCUUCCUUCCAUCUUUCUUUUCUUUCUUUCCAUUUUUUUUUUCCUCCAGAAGAAUGGAAACAGUAUUCUUUUCCGAUCAGUUCAGUAAUACAAUGUCCUUCAGUGUCCAUAUGAGCAUUUCAGUGGAGAAGAAAAGAAACUUUGCUACCUGGGAACUGAAGACUACUUAGGCACCUACUCUGGGCUAAGCACUGUGUUAGACAUGAGGGAAACUGGAAUAUGAGUGGUAUAGUGUUUGCACUUGGAGAGCUCACACGUAGUGGGUAAGUCAGAUGUAUAAAAAAUAAACAAUGUACAAGCAUUUAACAAUUUUUUUUCAGGUGAAUAAUGAAAGCAAGGUGCUUUGGUGUGCACAAGUAAGGAAGCACUCAAGUGCCAGGGGAGUUUGGCAAAGUUAUCCUUGAACUGGGUUCUGACUGAUGAGUUGGCAUUACCUAGACAAAAGGCCAGAGGAAGGAAGGACAGGACGAAUAGAGGGAAUGGUGCAUAGAGUGUAAAGAAUUGUGAGAGAACAUCCAGGGAAUGCAAGUGUUUCCACAUAGCUAAAGCACAGUGAGAAUCUGAGGCUUUGGCAGAAGUUGAGUUGAAGGAAGUGGGCUGGAGUCAGAUUGUGAAGAAAUCUGUAUGCCACGCCAAAGGGAUGAACAUUUAUUUGUCUUGAAAGCAACGGAGUAACAUUGCAUGAUUUCAAACAUAAAAUGACAUGCUGAUUUUUUUUUUAAAAAGAGAGCACUUUGUUGUUUAUGUAGAAAAGGCUUGGAGAGUGUGAUUACUGGAAGCUGGUUUUAGGUGCUACCAUCAUCUAGGCAAGAGAAACUGAAGACACACAUUAAGACUACAGCAAAGGCACUGGAAAAGCAACUCAGAUUGUGAAGAUCCCGGUGUUACACAUCCAAUCGUUCACCUCCUUCCAAGACUAUGACAUUCCAGGAAACCUUCACUGCUAAGAGGAACUAAGAUCUAGAGUAUCUCCUCGAGGAAGUACAACUGGGUUGCUAUGAAGAUCAAUGGGUUGAACACAUGUCUGAGAAACUGUACAAGCUGCCAUUCUAGAGUAAAGUACUAUUUGGAAAUUCAUGCGUAAGUGAAUGUUACUAAAUUAUUCGUUGAUGGAAAUCUAUCAAAAGUGUAGCAUAGAUAUUGUUAUCUUCUUAAAACUCAAUUUCUCUUGGAUUUCAGUUAUUUCUUUAGUCAAGCAAGACGGUAUCAGCAGGAUGAACACCCAGUAUUGUUAUGAACAUUAACUCCUGAGAAUAGCUGUAUGCCUAAUGCCAGUUCUUCUUCUUCCCACGUUAUCAACGUGCACUUCUCUUAUCAUGCUUAAUGUAA
rnacentral:lncRNA from 1 species